rnacentral:rRNA from 1 species
UACGUAGGGGGGCAAGCGUUGUCCGGAUUUAUUGGGCGUAAAGAGCUCGUAGGCGGCUUGUCGCGUCGGAUGUGAAAGCCCGGGGCUUAACUUCGGGUCUGCAUUCGAUACGGGCAGGCUAGAGUUCGGUAGGGGAGAUCGGAAUUCCUGGUGUAGCGGUGAAAUGCGCAGAUAUCAGGAGGAACACCGGUGGCGAAGGCGGAUCUCUGGGCCGAUACUGACGCUGAGGAGCGAAAGCGUGGGGAGCGAACAGG